UCCACACUCCGCAGAAAUCAAUCUGAGUCGUUCAUCACACAUCAUAGAUGAACAUCAACCUUCCAACACAGAUCGUUUGGACAGCGGUUAUUACGACCUCUAACAGCAACUCAACCCCCCAGGUAUAACGGCACCAAACAAUCUGAACACACAAAGCAAAGAUAGAUAGAGAAAUAGAGGGACAAAGGGCAGAGAGAUAGAGGGAGGAGAGAGAGAAGACAAACAACUAUUGAAGAAGAAGAAGAAAGAUCAAAAUUUUUUUUCAAAUUAUAUUCUUUAUCAACAUAAUCAACCUCCACAUCUAUCUACCAAUCGUAUCUGCUGAUCAAAUUAGCUAAAAAACUCGCUAAUUUAUACUUUUUCUUUAUUAAAUUAUUGAAGAGGCUGUACUAAUUUGCUGAGGAAAAGGUGGGAGGGGGAGAAUUUGACGGUGCUGUUUUGGGGAAUUAGGGUUUUUGUUUUUGGCUGGUGGUGGUGUGAUGGGGUUGGGGAAUAGUGAAAAUGAUGUGGUCGUUGAUGAUGGAGAUGGUGGAGAUGGUGGUGGUGGCGGUGGUGGAGGAGGAUGCGGAAAGUCGUUUGGGUCUGUUUCGUGUUCGAUUUGCCUUGAAGUGGUCACCGAUAGCGGGGAUCGAUCGUGGGCCAAGCUUCAAUGUGGACAUCAAUUCCACUUGGAUUGCAUUGGUUCAGCAUUUAAUAUAAAGGGCGCUAUGCAAUGCCCUAAUUGUCGGAAAAUUGAAAAAGGCCAGUGGCUUUAUGCAAAUGGUUGCCGUUCAUUGCCAGAAUUUAGCAUGGAUGACUGGGCCCAUGAUGAGGACCUUUAUGACCUAAGCUACUCUGAAAUGUCCUUUGGAGUUCAUUGGUGUCCAUUUGGUAGUUUAGCACGACUUCCAUCAUCCUUUGAGUAAGCUUCAUCUGAUACUUACAGAUUAGAUUUGUUCCUGUUACAAUUAAUAUACUGAGAUUGUUAAUUUGCUUUUUUUGUACCAUUCACUUUUUUUUUUUCACUCUUGUAUGCAAAUGCCUAUUCACCUGGUAUAAUGGAAAUCAAAUGCUCCUCUUAUGAUACCUGAAGCAAUGAAGAGAAGGGAAGGGAUUAGUUGACUGGGAAGCCUGAAGUUAUAACAAGGAAAAUGCAAUUACUAAAAAAUUAUGAAUUCUUGAGGCAUGGAAAAAGAUGUGUCAGCCAUCUCUUUUCUUAAUGUAUCCUACUUUAGAUUUAUGUUCUGUCAUCUAUGCCUCUCCAAUGUGCAACUAAAAUGAGAUGCAUGCAUCUUUCAGGGGUCUUGAUAUAUGAUUUACUACUUCCCUCUUAACUCUUCCCCUUUCACAUUCACGGUUGAGCAUGCAUUCAUUUUCUCACACCUGGAUUGUUUCUGGAAGUGUCCUUACAAUGGGCUGGACCUCAUGUGAUAGGCCUAUAACACAAGCAAUCAAUUUAUGAUACUGGAUCUCCUAGAAAGUUUCUACAGCUUGUUAUUUGCUCCUCAGCAAGACCUGCAUGUGGACAGUUUGGUUCUUGCUCUUCCACAGCUGACUCAUCUUUCCAGCCCAAUGUGUAUGGCCAAGGGGCGCCAGUAUUUUGUGCGAACCAACUAGGGUGUUUCAUGUUAGUUGCAAUAUGGAAGCCAGAAUGUUUUAUGCCUGUUCCACUUUGGAUUGGAAUUGAUGAAGAUUGAUUAAAGUGUGAAGGGACAUGGUAAUAUGACAUUGUAAAUCUCCUUACAAGGAGAUAGGACUACCAUUUCCCCUUAAUUGCUUGUAUAUUAUGUACUUGUAUUAUACUCUGGUCCCAUGUUGUUACUAGAGAUGAGAUGUCAAUAAUGGGAAUCGACCUUUUGCUUAUGUUCCUUGAGUUUUUGAUAAUACAGAAUGAAGGGAAGAAAAUGAGAAAUUAGGUAUACCUGAUUUUUAAAUAUGCAGAUAUUAGAAAUCAGGAAUGGAAAUGAAUGAUCAUUCUCAUUUGUGUUCACUUAUUUCUGUAAGGAACAAGAAAUUACUUCAAUAUGCUUAGUUUUUGGGUCUGUUUUCAAGUUUGGCAUUUCAGUUUUUAACAGUUCUAUUUAUCUAUUUUGCAGGGAAGGGGAAUUUUCAUCAAAUGCAUAUCAUGAUCUAGUAGGACAGCAUGCUAUCUUUGCAGAACACACAGCAGCUGUAUCAUCAGCUACUCACCCAUGUCCAUAUAUUGCUUAUUUUGGACCAAUUCAUCCAUCAUCUUCCAACUCCAAUGCAAGUGUUUCAGAUAGUUCGAAUUUUAAUAAUCACUGGAAUGGUUCUUCAGUACCUAGUGACAUUCCUAGUUCCUAUGCUUUUUCUGCCAUGGAUCUCCAUUAUCAUGGCUGGGAGCACCAUUCCCCUGCCUUCUCUACAACUAGCAGUCGCAUUGGAAAUCCUGAUCAGCCUUCAAUUCCACCCGUUACUCAAAGGCCAGCCAGAAGCAGUUCUGAUCUUUCAAGAUCAGGAUCAUUCAUGCAUCCUUUCGUUGUUGGCCACAGUUCUGGUGCUAGAGCUGGAAGCUCAGUUGCUUCCUCAAUGGUUCCACCUUACCAAGGCAGUAAUGCCCGGGCUCGUGAUAGAGUUCAAGCUCUUCAGGCAUACUAUCAACAACCUGGAAAUUCUACAGCAACACGUGCACCCAUUAUUUCUGGAACCCGAAGAUCCAGCAGUCACAGAGGAGGUUUGUCUCAACUAGGAGCGGUGGCCUCAUCAUCAGAUCAAACUGGGUUCUAUUUCAUCCCACCCGGUACAUCAGGUCGUAACUACCAAGAAGCAGAAAAUCAUCCACCAACUCGAUUUCGGGCAUGGGAAAGGGAUCACUUGCCUGCAUUCUCAUUAAGUCAAGUUGACAGAGAAUCAAAUUGGGUUGCAUUUCAUCAGGCUGCAGGUGCAUCAGAUGGUGGCAUCAGAUCGGGCAGCUUUCGCCAAAGGCAUGGAUCUGAGAGAAUGUCAUCGCAAAAUCGAUCAUAGCUUUCUUGAUUAUCCUUUUGGGUGAAGCAAACUAUCAGUACUGAGACCAAAGUUAUGUAUGCUUGAAAAACGAUAUAUAAUGCUUGGAGUCUGUCGAUCACGACAGACUGAAAAUACUGUGGAGUGGCCCUGAAAACGAUCUUUUUUUGGCAGCCACCUGGCUGUGCUGAACUUUGGCAUCCUCUAGUUUCUUUGCCUUGGAGGGUAUAAAAUAAGAUCAUGGGUUGGCUAGUAUUAGCUGCCUUGUUUAGUAGGAAUCCAUGAGAGGAAAUAUCACAAUUGCCAUGCUUAAUGUUUAGUUCCAUAUGGUGGUGCUAAGGUUGUGCGAGUUUUGGACCGACAUAAUAGUUGACAAUGUGGCUUUCACCUGAAGAGGUAUUAUAGAUUCGAGUGGCUUGUUU
rnacentral:misc_RNA from 1 species